UGGGGAAUUUUGGACAAUGGGGGAAACCCUGAUCCAGCCAUCCCGCGUGUGCGAUGAAGGCCUUCGGGUUGUAAAGCACUUUUUGGCAGGAAAGAAACGUCGCGGGUUAAUACCCCGCGAAACUGACGGUACCUGCAGAAUAAGCACCGGCUAACUACGUGCCAGCAGCCGCGGUAAUACGUAGGGUGCAAGCGUUAAUCGGAAUUACUGGGCGUAAAGCGUGCGCAGGCGGUUCGGAAAGAAAGAUGUGAAAUCCCAGAGCUUAACUUUGGGAACUGCAUUUUUAACUACCGGGCUAGAGUGUGUCAGAGGGAGGUGGAAUUCCGCGUGUAGCAGUGAAAUGCGUAGAUAUGCGGAGGAACACCGAUGGCGAAGGCAGCCUCCUGGGAUAACACUGACGCUCAUGCACGAAAGCGUGGGGAGCAAACAGGAUUAGAUACCCUGGUAGUCCACGCCCUAAACGAUGUCAACUAGCUGUU
rnacentral:rRNA from 1 species